GGAGGCGCGGAAUCUGUCUUCCGGCGCGAGUUCAAGGCGGAGCGGGGGGGGGGGGCUGCUGCUGCAGCUGCUCUUCCUCCCCGCGCGCUGCACGUCUUAAAUCGCGAGCGUUAAAAUAGCGAGGGAUUUGCACGGCACGGAGAAACUGCAGCGAUUGGUUGUUUAGCUUGCCAUUCGCACUGGCACUGCCUAAUUGGCUGUGGAGCUGGAGUAAGCGUUGUCCGCCCGCCCUGCUCCAGGGAUAAAAGGAGGGAAGGCAGCACGAGGUUCUUUUUGGUGCGAGUGACCCUGGUGCCUUUUUGCUGCCUGUCUGAGGCUGGCACAGGGCUUUAUGCUGGGACGGAGCUCCUCCCAGCAAUAAGACAGGGGGAAAUGAAGGCAAGGGAGAUUUAACAGUGGCAGCCUGAUGCUGAAAUGGGAGAUUGGGUAGUUGUGAGGUGAGACUGAUUGGGGAUGGGAAUGAUGCAUAGUGCUUGUUGGUAAGCGGUGCAAGCAAAUUCAUGUCUACUCACAAGAAAUAAGUCACCUUCAAAAUAUCCUCUUGAGAGAACAAAGGAGCAGCAGCAGGCUAGCCAGAGCUCAGCUUGCAAGGAGCUGGAGGGCAGCACAGCACAGGAUGCUUUGCCAUUCGUAAGUGUAGUCAGGAUGUCUGCAGAACCCCAGAAGCGGAGGAGGCUGGCACUAUAUAGGGCAGAGUGUAUCCAAGCGACUAAACAGCAAAAUACACAGCCCCUCUCCCUCCAAGAUGGCAAGUUCAUCUACAGAGACAUUGAAAAGGUCUGUGAAAAUCUCAGUUUCACUACCAGAGUGGACACGGAUAAGCUGUAUGAUGAAAGCGCAACAGCCAACUGCAUUCUGGAACAGCUUUUAAAGGAUGCUGAAUGAAAGAACAAAGAUGUGGCUGCAAAGUGGUUGGCUGUAUUUACAGCAUGUGAUCUACCCAGUUUGGCAUGUGGAAAGGAUUUCCUCCAUGAUGUUGAACAAAUGGAGAAAUGUUCAGAACCGGUGCUCUGUGGAACAGAUAAAAGUGAACUCCUGAUUUCUCUGAACUUUGAACUGACGUGCUGAAUUCCACUCUUAUUUUGAAGGACAAAGCACUGCUUAAUGCAGCAAGGAGUGACAGAAAGUAGGAAGGUGAAGUGGAGAGAGAGAGAG